rnacentral:rRNA from 1 species
UAGUCAUAUGCUUGUCCCAAAGAUUAAGCCAUGCAUGUCUAAGUAUAAACAAAUCUGUACUGUGAAACUGCGAAUGGCUCAUUAAAUCAGUUAUAAUUUACUUGAUAGUCACUUUAUCAUUGGAUAACCGUGGUAAUUCUAGAGCUAAUACAUGCAACAAGCCUGACUUCGGAAGGGCUGUAUUUAUUAGAUACAAAACUGACGGCACUUCGGUGUCUUUGGUGAUUCAUAAUAACUUUGCGGAUCGCAUGGCCUUGCGCCGGCGACGUUUCAUUCAA